rnacentral:rRNA from 1 species
GUCGAGCCUGCCCACUGAUAAAUUGAAGGGCCGCGGUAUUUUGACCGUGCAAAGGUAGCAAAAUCAUUAGUCUUUUAAUUGAGGGCUUGUAUGAAUGGUUUGACGAGAUGUUAGCUGUCUCAUUAUAAUAAAUAUAAUUUAACUUUUGAGUGAAAAGGCUUAAAUAUAAUUGGAGGACGAGAAGACCCUAUAGAGCUUUAUAUAUUUAUAUAAUAAUUUUAUAUUUAGUAGUUUUGAUUGUUGUUAUAAAAUAUAUUGUGUUGGGGUGACAUAAAGAUAAAAUUAACUCUUUGUAUAUUUAACAUUAAUUUAUGAAUUAUUGAUCCAGUAUUAUUGAUUAAAAGAAAAAGUUACCUUAGGGAUAACAGCGUAAUUUUUUUUGAGAGUUCUUAUCAAUAAAAAAGAUUGCGACCUCGAUGUUGGAUUAAGGAAAAUUAUUAGGUGAAGUAGUUUAAUUAAUAGGUCUGUUCGACCUUUAAAUCCUUACGUGAUCUGAGUUCAGACCGGA